CCCAGGUAGAGAGUGCUCCUGGUGGCCUGGU
rnacentral:piRNA from 1 species